rnacentral:lncRNA from 1 species
GUGCUUGUAAUGCACUGAGUGGCUUCUAGCUCAUCCUUUGCUUCCAUCUGUUUGUCCCCAGCUGUACUACUCCCGUUGAGCCUACACAACGAUCUCCAGGGAAGAGAAGACAAGCAGGCAUUGACCCUGAGGACAGGGAGUAGCAAAAUCAAGCUGGACCAUCUGUGGAGAGCUCGGUGCCUGCCAUCCCAGCAGCUGCAGGAGGAUACUGGGAGGGGGGAAGCACCUGCCAUGGCAAAGGGACAAGAACUGGGUGCGACAGGAAUGCCGCCAGCGCCAUGCGAUCCCAGGGCUGGGACUUUGUGUGCUGAAAUCCAAGAGAUAACAAAUGAAGCCCCUCGUGUGUGCUUGUGCCCGUGGCUGGACCUUGGUGCCACCCAAAGGCUGUGACACCGACUGCGAGCUCGGGGAAGAAUCUGAAGCAAGCAUGCUGCUGACACACUGGAGGAAAACCAUGGCCUGCACGUGUGAUAAGGAUUCCCCCACUGUAUCUCUAUUGGGUUUUUUAUUAAACGCUGACAUUAGAA